AUUGAACGCUGGCGGCAGGCCUAACACAUGCAAGUCGAACGAGUGGCGGACGGGUGAGUAAUGUAUGGGAAACUGCCUGAUGGAGGGGGAUACCUACUGGAAACGGUAGCUAAUACCGCAUACCAUCAGAUGUGCCCAGAUGGGAUUAGCUAGUUGGUGGGGUAAAGGCUCACCAAGGCGACGAUCCCUAGCUGGUCUGAGAGGAUGACCGGCCACACUGGAACUGAGAAACGGUCCAGACUCCUACGGGAGGCAGCAGUUGGGAAUAUUGCACAAGGGGCGCAAGCCGGAUGCAGCCAUGCCGAGUGUAUGAAGAAGGCCUUCGGGUUGUAAAGUACUUUCAGCGGGGAGGCGUUACCCGCAGAAGAAGCACCGGCUAACUCCGUGCCAGCAGCCGCGGUAAUAC
rnacentral:rRNA from 1 species